rnacentral:rRNA from 1 species
AGGAAUAUUGGUCAAUGGGCGAUGGCCUGAACCAGCCAAGUAGCGUGAAGGAUGACUGCCCUAUGGGUUGUAAACUUCUUUUAUAAAGGAAUAAAGUCGGGUAUGCAUACCCGUUUGCAUGUACUUUAUGAAUAAGGAUCGGCUAACUCCGUGCCAGCAGCCGCGGUAAUACGGAGGAUCCGAGCGUUAUCCGGAUUUAUUGGGUUUAAAGGGAGCGUAGAUGGAUGUUUAAGUCAGUUGUGAAAGUUUGCGGCUCAACCGUAAAAUUGCAGUUGAUACUGGAUGUCUUGAGUGCAGUUGAGGCAGGCGGAAUUCGUGGUGUAGCGGUGAAAUGCUUAGAUAUCACGAAGAACUCCGAUUGCGAAGGCAGCCUGCUAAGCUGCAACUGACAUUGAGGCUCGAAAGUGUGGGUAUCAAACAGGAUUAGAUACCCUGGUAGUCCACACGGUAAACGAUGAAUACUCGCUGUUUGCGAUAUACGGCAAGCGGCCAAGCGAAAGCGUUAAGUAUUCCACCUGGGGAGUACGCCGGCAACGGUGAAACUCAAAGGAAUUGACGGGGGCCCGCACAAGCGGAGGAACAUGUGGUUUAAUUCGAUGAUACGCGAGGAACCUUACCCGGGCUUAAAUUGCACUCGAAUGAUCCGGAAACGGUUCAGCUAGCAAUAGCGAGUGUGAAGGUGCUGCAUGGUUGUCGUCAGCUCGUGCCGUGAGGUGUCGGCUUAAGUGCCAUAACGAGCGCAACCCUUGUUGUCAGUUACUAACAGGUGAUGCUGAGGACUCUGACAAGACUGCCAUCGUAAGAUGUGAGGAAGGUGGGGAGGACGUCAAAUCAGCACGGCCCUUACGUCCGGGGCUACACACGUGUUACAAUGGGGGGUACAGAGGGCCGCUACCACGCGAGUGGAUGCCAAUCCCUAAAACCCCUCUCAGUUCGGACUGGAGUCUGCAACCCGACUCCACGAAGCGGGAUUCGCUAGUAAUCGCGCAUCAGCCACGGCGCGGUGAAUACGUUCCCG